UCCGGUUUGUCACCGGCGGUCUCCUUAGAGUGCCCAACUUAAUGAUGGCAACUAAGGACAAGGGUUGCGCUCGUUAAGGGACUUAACCCGACAUCUCACGAUACGAGCUGACGACAGCCAUGCAGCACCUGUCUCCCGGCCCCCGAAGGGGAAAUCCUAUCUCUAGGACUAUCCGGGGAUGUCAAACCCAGGUAAGGUUCUUCGCGUUGCAUCGAAUUAAACCACAUGCUCCACCGCUUGUGCGGGCCCCCGUCAAUUCCUUUGAGUUUUAAUCUUGCGACCGUACUUCCCAGGCGGGGUACUUAAUGCGUUAGCUGCGGCACUGCAGGGGUCAAUUCCCGCAACACCUAGUACCCAUCGUUUACGGCGUGGACUAC
rnacentral:misc_RNA from 1 species